CCUACGGGCGGCAGCAGUGAGGAAUAUUGGUCAAUGGGCGCAGGCCUGAACCAGCCAAGUCGCGUGAGGGAAGACUGCCCUAUGGGUUGUAAACCUCUUUUAUAAGGGAAGAAUAAUGACUACGUGUAGUCAGAUGCCCGUACCUUAUGAAUAAGCAUCGGCUAACUCCGUGCCAGCAGCCGCGGUAAUACGGAGGAUGCGAGCGUUAUCCGGAUUUAUUGGGUUUAAAGGGUGCGUAGGCGGAUUUUUAAGUCAGCGGUAAAAUGUCCGGGCUCAACCCGGGCCGGCCGUUGAAACUGGGGAUCUUGAGUGGGCGAGAAGUAUGCGGAAUGCGUGGUGUAGCGGUGAAAUGCAUAGAUAUCACGCAGAACUCCGAUUGCGAAGGCAGCAUACCGGCGCCCGACUGACGCUGAGGCACGAAAGCGUGGGGAUCGAACAGGAUUAGAUACCCCAGUAGUC
rnacentral:rRNA from 1 species